AUUAGAAUGGCAGAUCAGUGCACAGGAUUUAAGCUUCUGUUAGGAAAUGUUUAUUAGUGUUUCUUCUAAUA
rnacentral:tRNA from 1 species